rnacentral:rRNA from 1 species
GAUGAACGCUAGCGGCAGGCUUAACACAUGCAAGUCGAGGGGCAGCACGGGUAGCAAUACCUGGUGGCGACCGGCGCAAGGGUGCGUAACGCGUGAGCAACAUGCCCUAUACAGGGGGAUAAUCCAGGGUAACUUGGUCUAAUAUCCCAUAGUAUUUAGAGAAGGCAUCUUCUAUAAAUUAAAGCUUCGGUGGUAUAGGAUUGGCUCGCGUGACAUUAGCUAGAUGGUGAGGUAACGGCUCACCAUGGCAAUGAUGUCUAGGGGUUCUGAGAGGAAGGCCCCCCACACUGGGACUGAGACACGGCCCAGACUCCUACGGGAGGCAGCAGUGAGGAAUAUUGGACAAUGGAUGGAAAUCUGAUCCAGCCAUGCCGCGUGCAGGAAGACAGCCCUAUGGGUUGUAAACUGCUUUUAUAUGGGAGCAAUAAGGUCUACGUGUAGACUGAUGAGAGUACCAUAUGAAUAAGC